GUAGUCCACGCUGUAAACGAUGAGGACUAGAUGUUGGUAGGGGAACCUAUCAGUAUCGAAGCUAACGCGAUAAGUCUUCCGCCUGGGAAGUACGGCCGCAAGGUUGAAACUCAAAGGAAUUGACGGGGGCCCGCACAAGCGGUGGAGCAUGUGGUUUAAUUCGAUGCAACGCGAAGAACCUUACCUACUCUUGACAUCCUGCGAACCCUGAUGAGAGUUGGGGGUGCCGAAAGGAGCGCAGAGACAGGUGCUGCAUGGCUGUCGUCAGCUCGUGUUGUGAGAUGUUGGGUUAAGUCCCGUAACGAGCGCAACCCUUGUCCUUAGUUGCCAGCAUUUAGUUGGGGACUCUAAGGAGACUGCCGGUGAUGAACCGGA
rnacentral:rRNA from 1 species